CACCCACCACCACCACUCACCCACCACCACUCACUCCACCCCCACCACUCACCCCCCACCACUCAUCCCACCACUCACCCCCCCACCACUCACCCACCACCACCACUCAUACCCCACCACCACCACCACACCACCACUCACACCACCACCACCAUUCACACCCCCCCACCACCACCGCGUGCUGUAGGCGGCCGCGGCGUGAGCGGCCUUCGAGACCCCCCCGAGGGAGGGAGGCGCGGGGCCGCUCGGGGCCGCCGAGGAAGUUGGCGGCGCGGGGCCGGGAGGGACCCUCACUGAGCGAUGGCCUCCGCAAGCAUCGCCGCCGUCUUCUCCUACGACAACCUCGUCCAUGCGCUGGCGGGGGCCUCGGGCAGUGUCACAGCAAUGACCGUGUUCUUUCCACUGGACACGGCCAGACUUCGCCUGCAGGUUGACGAGAAGAGAAAAUCAAGGUCCACCCCAACUAUCCUGAAAGAGAUAGUGCGGGAGGAGGGCUUACAAGCCGUGUACCGGGGGUGGUUUCCUGUCAUCAGCAGCCUCUGCUGCUCAAACUUCGUUUACUUCUACACCUUCAACAGCCUCAAGACCUUGUGGCUUGACCAGAGAAACAAUUCCAGCCCAGGAAAGGACAUGCUCAUGGGAUUCCUCUCUGGCGCUGUGAACGUGUUGCUGACGACACCCAUGUGGGUGGUGAACACCAGGUUAAAGCUGCAGGGAGCAAAAUUCCGGAACGAGCGCAUUGAGCAGACCAAUUACAAGGGAAUGUUUGAUGCCUUCAGGCAGAUCAUAGAGAAGGAGGGCGUGAGGGCCCUGUGGAACGGCACGCUGCCCUCCCUGGUCCUCGCCUUCAACCCUGCCAUCCAGUUCAUGGUUUACGAAGGCCUCAAGAGGCAAGCCGCCUCUGGCAAAAUGAAGGUCAUACCGCGCGUUCGGCGCGGUGUCCGAUGUUUCGCUGCACACGCCGAGAGCUUCCUCACGGACCUGAACUGUUGGACAUCGUGCCGAACAAUGCGCGCUGAAUGCAAUGGACAUCUUCAUCAUCGGAGCCAUCGCCAAGGCGAUCGCUACCACCGCAACGUUCCCGCUUCAGACGGUGCAGUCCAUACUCCGGUUUGGACAGUAUGAAAGUGGGAGCAGUUCGGGGGUGUUGGGAAGCCUGAAGAACAUCCUGCUCCUCAUCAGCCAGAGGGUCAGAAAGCAAGGUGUGGCUGGCCUCUACAAAGGAUUGGAAGCCAAGCUUCUGCAAACUGUGCUGACCGCAGCGCUGAUGUUUGUCCUUUACGAGAAGAUUGCUGCCCUGACCUUCCGCAUCAUGGGCCUCAAUUCACAAGCCACACGCUGACAUUCCUUCGACCUGUGCCCUCCUCCUGUCGUCGUCAUCAUCAUCGUCGUCACGCACAUCGAGGGAAACAGCAGCAGCAUGUUAACUACCUCGCCUGGUAUACAGGGUUCGAUCUCAACCCUGGCGCCUGCUGUAUAACUGGAGUUUGCACGUUCUCCAUGUGGUCGUGUGGAUUUUCCUCUCCACAUUUAUAAUCAACAUCACCCUUUUAGAGUAUUUGGCUGCUAUACAUUUCCAUAAGCCACUUCGUUGAGCUGUCAUUUGUGGCUAGGAUGCGUCUGAAACAGAGCUACGUAGCUCAGUGGGCCUCUAGUUUCAGUAAAAUAACGACAAAUACAUUCCUAUUGACUUGUGAAUGUUCACAACUUCAGUAGUAGACUCGAUUAUCCACGUGCGGUUAAUCUGAUUUGCGGAUUAAUCGCGCAGCCUGAGAUUUUAACAAAUUAAUAACUCGUGGAUUUUCCCUUCCGCCCGUAUUAAUAAUAAAAAAAUAGUUAUUAUUCUUUGAAAUGUUUAUGACAAGUUAGAUGCUUAAACCAAACAAAUAUGCACUCUGGUUAAUCAGAAAUCCACGUGAUCGCCUCAACAGUACAGUAGUUGCAAUAUCUUUGCAAUGGUGGGCGGAGUUUGAUGUUGAUUGGCGUGGCGCUGCUGCUGUCCACUUAGUGGGCCGAGUCUUCUGCGCCGGGAGCAGGAAAAUGUUGUCACUGCACACUCAUCGAUCGGUCGAUUCUACAUUGAAAGAGCAAGCAUCAAAAUCUGUCAAUUGUGCUUCAUUUUGAGUGCUUUAUCUGAUCAUUUAUUUUGUGAGUUUUAAUUUAUACCUAUAUCAGUGGUUUUUUGGCAUAGACAUCCGCUGCAAAUGGUUAUGUUUGGAUUAUCCAUGAUUUUGAAUUAUCCGCGUCAUUAGCACGGAUAAUCGAGUCAACCGCACUUAAAUAUACUUCUAAAUCGCUGUUGCUGAGCACAGUUGCCCGAAGGCCCAACACACCAAGUGGCCAGAAACAAAGAGCACUAUUGAAGGUAUAGAUAAAGAGUGAAUACAUUUGUUGAAUUUGCUUAGGUUAUAAGAACUUGGGGGGGGGGGGGGGCGGGGAAGACAAUGGGUUCGAAUUCCAAACUGGAUCGGUGCAAAGAACGAAUCGAAAACAGAAGUGGUUUCACCGGUGUGCUGGCUGGACAAGGUGUGUUCUCAGCGUGGGUGGAAACAAAUCAAGGAGUGAAUUUCACGGGAACGCUAACAAUGGUACUAGCCAUAGAAGACUCACCACCAGUCAAACUAAUUGCUUGAAAAUAAAUCUUAACGGCUUCGAUCAACCUGACCCAAACGGUAUGAUAUUGUCCUACAUUGAUAUAUAGCAGACUAACAUUUAUCAAGCUUGGUGAAGGGUUUUUUUGGCGUUGCUGAUCUGUAACCUAAAACUGGGAAACUAUUACAACAAUCUAGAUGCUUACACCAGUCUACAGCAUAAUACUAUUUGAACACUGGACAUACGUUAGUGUGGAUGAAUUUGUUAGUAAAAGUUUGAAUAGCCUAGCGGUUAGUACAUUUGCCUUUGGGCCAGUGUGUACAAAGUUUGGAGUGACGUUCCUUUGCCCUCCUAAUCCCUGUGGGGAGUCGUGAAAGCACGCUCGUGCAUUAACACAUUCCUGCGGAGGGAGCUGGUAGGAACGUUGGGUUGCUCGGUCAAUGGCCAAGGUCAACGGCGGCGUGGUGUAUUCCGCAAAUAUGGCCGACUGUGAGGGCGGGCACAAGCCGGCGUGAGUAGGUUAAACGUUUAAGGGCACCAAGGGGUGACCAGCCCUUCCCCACCCAACCCCACCCCACCCAGCCCCAUCCUCCCCACCCAGCCCCUUCCCACUCUCCACCCAGCCCCACCCCUCCAAUUUUUGGAUGCACGACAGACGGACAGAAUAAUCCCCUGUGGGCUGGUGUAACCUGGAGUAUCCUACCAGUACAAAGGGAAUUGUCUACAGGUGAAAGUACACUGUGUCCCAGUGUCAUAGUCCCAAGUAGAUACGGCAACACCAAGUAGGGACCUUUGUCAACAUGCUGCUGGCCAAUGCAGGUUCGUGAAGUUUAGAGAUCUCGCUCGCUGCUACAGAGAGAGAGCUGUGGACAUCAAUUCAACUCGGGUCGACAGGUUGGGGUCGCAGUUUCGCUAACCGCUGCGCCACCACUCCCACGACAGCCCGAGUUUGCAACUUGAAAAGUAUCACGUAAUGCAAAAUGUAUUGGCCCACCAAAGCUCUCUCGACAGAGAUAAUAAAUUAAGAAUAUCAAUAAAUACAUUAAAAUUUAAUUGACUCAAUUAUUCGAAGUGCUACGGCAGGAAAGUAAACUUGGCAAACAGGUCGAGGUGCAUUUAUAGGGUCAUGAAUUUUACAUUCCAUUUCAUAUUUGUAACAUUUUGAUUUUGUUGAAAUAUUAAUUGAGCUGCCGUGCCAUUUAAACAAGCGUUUGCCGAAUAAACAAAUUAACAGGUUG